rnacentral:rRNA from 1 species
GACGAGGGACCUAGCGUUGUUCGGAAUCAUUGGGCGUAAAGAGGGCGUAGGUGGCUUGGUAAGUCGGGUGUGAAAGCCCAGGGCUCAACCCUGGAAGUGCAUUCGAUACUGCUGAGCUUGAGUGUUGGAGAGGUCACUGGAAUACCUGGUGUAGUGGUGAAAUACGUAGAUAUCAGGUGGAACACCGGAGGCGAAGGCGGGUGACUGGCCAAACACUGACACUGAGGCCCGAAAGUGUGGGGAUCAAACAGG